rnacentral:rRNA from 1 species
GAUGAACGCUGGCGGCGUGCCUAAUACAUGCAAGUCGAGCGAACGGACGAGAAGCUUGCUUCUCUGAUGUUAGCGGCGGACGGGUGAGUAACACGUGGAUAACCUACCUAUAAGACUGGGAUAACUUCGGGACACCGGAGCUAAUACCGGAUGAUAUUUUGAACCGCAUGGUUCAAAAGUGAAAGACGGUCUUGCUGUCACUUAUAGAUGGAUCCGCGCUGCAUUAGCUAGUUGGUAAGGUAACGGCUUACCAAGGCAACGAUGCAUAGCCGACCUGAGAGGGUGAUCGGCCACACUGGAACUGAGACACGGUCCAGACGCCUACGGGAGGCAGCAGUAGGGAAUCUUCCGCAGUGGGCGAAAGCCUGACGGAGCAACGCCGCGUGAGUGAUGAAGGUCUUCGGAUCGUAAAACUCGGUUAUUAGGGAAGAACAGAUGUGUAAGUAACUGAGCACAUCGUGACGGUACCGAAUCAGAAAGCCACGGCUAACUACGUG